rnacentral:rRNA from 1 species
CACGUGGGUAACCUGCCUUACAGAGGGGGAUAACAGUUUGAAAAGACUGCUAAUACCGCAUAAGCACACAGUACCGCAUGGUACGGGGUGAAAAGAUUUAUCGCUGUAAGAUGGACCCGCGUCUGAUUAGCUAGUUGGCAGGGUAACGGCCUACCAAGGCGACGAUCAGUAGCCGACCUGAGAGGGUGAUCGGCCACAUUUGGGACUGAGACACGGCCCAA